rnacentral:rRNA from 1 species
AGAGUUUGAUCAUGGCUCAGGAUGAACGCUAGCGACAGGCCUAACACAUGCAAGUCGAGGGGCAUCGGGGCGAGGAGCAAUCCUUGCCGCCGGCGACCGGCGCACGGGUGAGUAACGCGUAUGCGACCUGCCCGUUGCAGGGGGAUAAUCGGGAGAAAUCCCGUCUAAUACCGCGUAAUGCCGCGGGGCUGCAUGGCCCUGCGGCCAAAGGAAGCGAUUCCGGCAACGGAUGGGCAUGCGUGACAUUAGCUAGUUGGCGGGGCAACGGCCCACCAAGGCGACGAUGUCUAGGGGUUCUGAGAGGAAGGUCCCCCACACUGGUACUGAGACACGGACCAGACUCCUACGGGAGGCAGCAGUGAGGAAUAUUGGUCAAUGGGCGCGAGCCUGAACCAGCCAAGUCGCGUGAGGGAUGACGGCCCUACGGGUUGUAAACCUCUUUUGUCGGGGAGCAAAUUCCGCCACGUGUGGCGGGGUCGAGAGUACCCGAAGAAAAAGCAUCGGCUAACUCCGUGCCAGCAGCCGCGGUAAUACGGAGGAUGCGAGCGUUAUCCGGAUUUAUUGGGUUUAAAGGGUGCGUANGCGGACUGUCAAGUCAGCGGUAAAAUACGGGGGCUCAACCUCCGCCCGCCGUUGAAACUGACGGUCUUGAGUGGG